rnacentral:rRNA from 1 species
UGAACGCUGGCGGUAGGCCUAACACAUGCAAGUCGAACGGCAGCACAGUAAGAGCUUGCUCUUACGGGUGGCGAGUGGCGGACGGGUGAGGAAUACAUCGGAAUCUACUUUUUCGUGGGGGAUAACGUAGGGAAACUUACGCUAAUACCGCAUACGACCUACGGGUGAAAGCAGGGGAUCUUCGGACCUUGCGCGAUUGAAUGAGCUGAUGUCGGAUUAGCUAGUUGGCGGGGUAAAGGCCCACCAAGGCGACGAUCCGUAGCUGGUCUGAGAGGAUGAUCAGCCACACUGGAACUGAGACACGGUCCAGACUCCUACGGGAGGCAGCAGUGGGGAAUAUUGGACAAUGGGCGCAAGCCUGAUCCAGCCAUACCGCGUGGGUGAAGAAGGCCUUCGGGUUGUAAAGCCCUUUUGUUGGGAAAGAAAAGCAGCAGGUUAAUACCCCGCUGUUCUGACGGUACCCAAAGAAUAAGCACCGGCUAACUUCGUG